GAUAAACGCUGGCGGCGUGCUUCAGGCAUGCAAGUCGAACGAGCGACCCGGUUCGCCGGGAAGCUAGUGGCGGACGGGUGAGUAACACGUAAGCAACCUGCCCAGAAGUGAGGAAUAACCCACCGAAAGGUGAGCUAAUACCGCAUGUGAUGUCUCUUCCCUGGAGGAGCCAUUAAAGGCGAAAGUCGCUUCUGGAGGGGCUUGCGGCUGGUUAGCUAGUUGGUGGGGUAAUGGCCUACCAAGGCGACGAUCGGUAGCUGGUCUGAGAGGACGGACAGCCACACGGGGACUGAGAUACGGCCCCGACUCCUACGGGAGGCAGCAGCUAGGAAUCUUGGGAAUGGGCGAAAGCCUGACCCAGCAACGCCGCGUGGGCGAUGAAGGCCUUCGGGUCGUAAAGCCCUUUUGCAGGGGACGAUAAUGACGGUACCCUGCGAAUAAGCCACGGCUAACUACGUGCCAGCAGCCGCGGUAACAC
rnacentral:rRNA from 1 species